rnacentral:lncRNA from 1 species
UUAGAACAAGCUUAUGUCGGCUUAAGCCCAAUUCAUGACGGCCCCAUGCAUGGAAGAGCCCAUUAUUAAAUCCAGUGCCUUAAAAUCUUAUUCAGGUACAAACACUUGCAAAAUUCUCCGUAUAUAGUCCAAACUCAGCUCUUCCUGUCCCAAACUCCAUCAACGUUCAAGAGAUUCACUGUUUCAGAGCUUCUUUUGAAUAUGGAGAAGGGUUUGUACUUCUGUUAUGAUGAGAAAAAUCCGGUGGGUCAUAAUUUCCAAAGUAAAGAGUUACAAGUGUUCUUGGUGAGCAACAAUUUGGAUGAGUUAAGUAUAGAAGUACUUACAGGGGCUGGCGAAAUUGAGCAGAAAGGCGCCAGAGACUGUGGAAAUUUCAACUCAUUUAGUGGUUGGGUUAACAACGCCAAUGGCAACUAAACCACACGGGAAGAUCUCUCAGCAAGAUGUCAUUGACUGUUUCAUUGUGGGGCAACCUACAAAUCUAUUAGGAUUGGCCUGGUUCAGAAUUUGGGAAUUUUGUGGGUGGACGCAACUGUCUGGGGAGUUCUCUUAGAUACUAUACUAUUGGUAGUAGAUCGUUUAGGUGCAUACGUCCACUUUGGGAGGUGGCUACAGUCUGCUUUGAUUGUGGCUGGGGCAGGGUGGCGAGGUAAUUAUAGGCUUCCAUUUGGUUAGUUAAAAUUGGGAGGGGUUACUUGGGGAAUUUUAUGGAAGAAGGCUAAGCACCAAUUAUGCGAAAAGUGGGAGGGGAAUUCUGUGGGGAUCAUGGAGAAACUGAUAGUAUGGUGAGGAAAUGACUGGCCUCUCUAAUGCUUAAUAUUUCAAUGUAAUUGAUUUCAUUCCGCUGUAAUUCCAUUUCUACUUCAAUUCAUUUUGUCUUUACAUUUAGUAAACUAUAUCGAUAUAAUUCCAAGGUUCUCAAAUACUGAAUUAUUAGCCCAUAUCUGUACCUCUUUAUAGUUUAUAUGCAGUUUUUAUUCCAGC